rnacentral:tRNA from 2 species
AACAAUUAAAUAGAUUUUUACUAUGUCUGAUUACGGUUCAGAAUGAUAAAUUGUUU